UCCCUUUUGAGGUGAUGACCACAUACAUGCAAGUGCUAUUUUCAUACUUUUAAUAGCAGAAAGAAAAAUCCGUGUGUAAUAUUGAUGUUCAUGUGAUAAUAGGUUGACUCCGUUCAUAUAGUACUGGUGACGGAAAUUUAUUCGAACUAUUUGGACUCUUAAUUGCAUUCGCAAGCACAUCCAUAUUGGAGCUAAGGUAUAAAAUGACACCAUGAUUUUGUUAAUAUUUUUUAUAUUGAUGUACUGUUGUGAAUAAUGUGUGCAUGCCGCUGCAAAUAUUAUUAUUUGUAAAAUAAAUGAUUGCUAUCGUAUGAUAUUUAAAAAUAAUAUAAAGCCGGAUGAAAUUAAAUGUUUACUCAUAUGAUAUUAAAAUGUUAUUAUCGUACUAUUAUGUUUAAUGGUUGUUUGGAUAGCGAGUAAUUACCAUCGGUUUUACUCUCGUAGACGAGUUUGAGAAAAAAUAUAUCAAAAUUAGUUUUUAGUAAUAGUCGUUUUUACUCUCAUAGACGAGUUUGAGAAAAAAUAUAUCAAAAUUAGUUUUUAGUAAUAGUCGUUUUUACUCUCGUAGACGAGUUUGAGAAAAAAUAUUAUCAAAAUUAGUUUUUAGUAAUAGUCGUUUUUACUCUCAUAGACGAGUUUGAGAAAAAAUAUUAUCAAAAUUAGUUUUUAGUAAUAGUCGUUUUUACUCUCGUAGACGAGUUUGAGAAAAAAAUAUAUCUUUAAAUACCCGUUAACCAAAUAUUUGUAAGCAAAUGAUUCUAGAAACAAACCGAAUAUUUGUAACAAAAAUACGGUUAUUAUUUUAGUCGUAUGAUAUGUAAAUGUUGUCAUCGUACUACUACUAAAUGUUCUGUUACUAAUUGUUUGCAAUGUAAACAUGUAUGUUGGUUAGGUACUAUGGAAAAUUUAGUAGUGUACUAUGGGAACGUCUUACGCGACGGUCCAUUGGGGGUGGAUGUGUCCUUGUGCGAGUCGACUACAGUUGUAGUGAGAGACAUGGUCAAUGUGGGUUACGCAGCAGUUAGAAGGUGCAUCCGAAAGGUGUUUGGCCCAGGGAUGCAAGGGAAAAAAAUGACAAUGGAGGCCUUCGUCGUUGACGGAGGAAAUGAUGGGACAGUUGCCCGUUGGGGUUUGCGGCCGGUCACAGGUGAUCGGUCGUCGGGGUCGUACAUGAGGUUUGCAAGCAAUCCCAAUAACUCAAUGUAUGGUCAGCCGAUGGUGUAUGUAGAUUUCAUUUCAGUCACUGAUGUUGCCGGAUGCAGUAGCAGGGGUGGUGAGGUCGAGUUGGCCAUCACAUCAGCCCCUAGCGUCGGCCCAUCGGAACCGACGGGCGGCCAGCCUGUGUAUGACACAUGAUAUUGGUCUGCGACCGUUGACAUGAGCGAACACGUGGAGGGAUUGCCGGAGGCGCUAGAUGAUGAUGAUCAUUCUUCUGCGUCUUCGGAGUCAAGCGAAGAAGAAGAAGAUGUUCCUCCUCAGAGGGCGGUCGCAGCGGUACUGCAACCUGGGUUUUUACAGGAUAUGAGCAUCACCAACGAAUUUCACUCUGCUUCUGGCCUAGGAGCGGGGAGCCUGGAGGUUGGGCAAGUUUUCCCAGACAAGAAGUCUGCUUACCAGGCAAUGGGUAGCUAUGCAAUCGGCAUCCACCGCCAGCAUAGAGUGAAGCAGUCUGAUAAAAAAGAGUUGAAGGUCAUAUGCAUCCACACCGCGAAAGGUUGCCGCGGAAGAGUUCUCGCUAGACUGAAGCCUGGGGUAUAUCAGUCAUGGCAUAUCACAAAAAUAGUGGAGCAUACCUGUGAGCAAACUGGGACUCUUUCAGAUCACUGCAAUGUGACAGCAAAAUAUGUGGCACAGACAAUGGAAACAAUUGUGUAGGGAAGUCUCAACAUUAGUGUUAGGGCUCUGCAAAAAGAUGCGGGGGAUCUAAUUGGAUUCCCUGUUAGCUACAGUAAGGCUAGGCGUGCGAAGGAAAAUAUAUUCAAGAACUUGUAUGGUACCUAUGAGGCGGGUCACAGGAUAUGAUGCAUACACCCAAGGUGAGGGAUCUCAGCCGUAUCUUUCCACGCGAGGGAUCCCCAUGCCCGAGGAGACUCGUGUACCAGAUUUAAACCAGCACCACGUACAAUGGCCAGACCGUAUAGGAGAGGGAUAUGCUCAGGUAGUCAUGUUUACAUUUUAAUGCAUUUACAAUGAUAUCAUAUAUUAUCCUCUAACAGUUUGUUUAAAAUGUUUCUAUGUGCAGGACACACCUGAUGUUAAUUGGGGCGAUGAGAACACCCAACGCGGCGUCAACACAGGCCUCCGGGGAGCAUCAUAUGAUCUUGGCGUCCCGGUUACAUCAUUAGUUACAGAGUUCUUCGGAGGGGACGUUAUUGGCCCAUCUUUUAUCCCCGCGGAGUCACAACCAUACGCCUACAAUUACGCUUCAGGUUCGCAACAAGGAUUUGCGACUCCACCACCUACGCAGGACUCGCAGACACAUGAAGCCGAAUUGGAGUACGGCCGCGGUCUUCGUGUGACCCGGCCACCUAAUCGCUUGUCGCCUUCCGGUCGUAAGGAAAGGCCAGGUGGUCGUCGUAAAGUAGGGUGAUUCAUCUAUGCAUGUGCGCGACCCAUUGUAUCUACAUAUGUCUGUAUCAGACUUUUCAAUUUGAACAUCUAUGUAUGCUGAAAUAAAAAUGCACCAGUCAGGAACAAUUUUUCCCG
rnacentral:lncRNA from 1 species